rnacentral:rRNA from 1 species
CUACGGGGCGCUGCAGUGAGGAAUUUUGCGCAAUGGGGGAAACCCUGACGCAGCAACGCCGCGUGAGUGAUGAAGGCCUUCGGGUCGUAAAGCUCUGUCAAGUGGGAAGAACCCACCCUGUGCUAAUAUCACAGGGUGCUGACGGUACCACUGAAGGAAGCACCGGCUAACUCCGUGCCAGCAGCCGCGGUAAUACGGAGGGUGCAAGCGUUAUUCGGAAUUACUGGGCGUAAAGGGCGCGUAGGCGGCCUUUUAAGUCAGAUGUGAAAUCCCGGGGCUCAACCCCGGAAGUGCAUCUGAAACUAAGAGGCUUGAGUAUGGGAGAGGGAAGUGGAAUUCCUGGUGUAGAGGUGAAAUUCGUAGAUAUCAGGAGGAACACCGGUGGCGAAGGCGACUUCCUGGACCAAUACUGACGCUGAGGCGCGAAGGCGUGGGGAGCAAACAGGAUUAGAUACCCGGGUAGUC